AGAGUUUGAUCAUGGCUCAGAUUGAACGCUGGCGGUAUGCUUAACACAUGCAAGUCGAACGGAAACGAUGGUAGCUUGCUACCAGGCGUCAAGUGGCGGACGGGUGAGUAACGCGUGAGAAUCUGCCCAGUAGUGGGGGACAACCAGGGGAAACCCUGGCUAAUACCGCAUACACUCUACGGAGAAAAGGAGGCCUCUUCUUGAAAGCUUUCGCUAUUGGAUGAGCCUGCGUGAGAUUAGCUAGUUGGUGAGGUAAAGGCUCACCAAGGCGACGAUCUCUAGCUGGUCUGAGAGGACGAUCAGCCACACUGGGACUGAGACACGGCCCAGACUCCUACGGGAGGCAGCAGUGGGGAAUAUUGGACAAUGGGCGCAAGCCUGAUCCAGCAAUACCGCGUGUGUGAAGAAGGCCCUAGGGUUGUAAAGCACUUUCAGCAGUGAAGAAAAGCUUAAGUUUAAUACGCUUGAGUCUUGACGUUAACUGCACAAGAAGCACCGGCUAACUCCGUGCCAGCAGCCGCGGUAAUACGGGGGGUGCAAGCGUUAAUCGGAUUUACUGGGCGUAAAGCGCACGCAGGCGGUUUGUUAAGUUAGAUGUGAAAGCCCCGGGCUUAACCUGGGAACUGCAUUUAAAACUGGCUAACUAGAGUAUGGUAGAGGAGAGUGGAAUUUCAGGUGUAGCGGUGAAAUGCGUAGAUAUCUGAAGGAACACCAGUGGCGAAGGCGGCUCUCUGGACCAAUACUGACGCUGAGGUGCGAAAGCGUGGGAAGAAAACGGGAUUAGAUACCCCGGUAGUCCACGCCGUAAACGAUGUCAACUAGCCGUUGGGGGGCUUGACCCCUUAGUGGCGCAGCUAACGCGUUAAGUUGACCGCCUGGGGAGUACGGCCGCAAGGCUAAAACUCAAAUGAAUUGACGGGGGCCCGCACAAGCGGUGGAGCAUGUGGUUUAAUUCGAUGCAACGCGAAGAACCUUACCUGGUCUUGACAUCCUACGAACUUUCCAGAGAUGGAUUGGUGCCUUCGGGAACGUAGUGACAGGUGCUGCAUGGCUGUCGUCAGCUCGUGUUGUGAAAUGUUGGGUUAAGUCCCGUAACGAGCGCAACCCUUAUCCUUAUUUGCCAGCACGUAAUGGUGGGAACUCUAGGGAGACUGCCGGUGACAAACCGGAGGAAGGCGGGGAUGACGUCAAGUCCUCAUGGCCCUUAUAUCCAGGGCUACACACGUGCUACAAUGGUAAAUACAGAGGGCAGCGAGCCAGCGAUGGUGAGCGAAUCCCUAAAGUUUAUCUCAGUCCGGAUUGGAGUCUGCAACUCGACUCCAUGAAGUUGGAAUCGCUAGUAAUCGCGGAUCAGCAUGCCGCGGUGAAUAUGUUCCCGGGCCUUGUACACACCGCCCGUCACACCAUGGGAGUUGAUUAUACCCGACGUCGCUGGGCUAACCCUUCGGGGGGGCAGGCGCCUAAGGUAUGGUUGAUAACUGGGGUGAAGUCGUAACAAGGUAGCC
rnacentral:rRNA from 1 species